rnacentral:rRNA from 1 species
GACGAACGCUGGCGGCGUGCUUAACACAUGCAAGUCGAACGGAAAGGCCCUGCUUUUGUGGGGUGCUCGAUUGGCGAACGGGUGAGUAACACGUGAGUAACCUGCCCUUGACUUUGGGAUAACUUCAGGAAACUGGGGCUAAUAUCGGAUAUGAGCUCCUGCUGCAUGGUGGGGGUUGGAAAGUUUCGGCGGUUGGGGAUGGUCUCGCGGCUUAUCAGCUUGUUGGUGGGGUAGUGGCUUACCAAGGCUUUGACGGGUAGCCGGCCUGAGAGGGUGACCGGCCACAUUGGGACUGCGAUACGGCGCAGACUCCUACGGGCGGCAGCAGUGGGGAAUAUUGCACAAUGGGCGGAAGCCUGAUGUAGCAACGCCGCGUGCGGGAUGACGGCUUUCGGGUUGUAAACCGCUUUCGAAUGUGACGAAGCGUGCGUGACGGUAAUGGGUAAAGAAGCAACGGCUAACUACGUG